UUGAAUAGUAAAAUAUUAUAAUAGUUUUUGUUCUUUUCAAAACGAAUAUUUCCAGAAAAAUUACUUUGUUCCUCGAGGCGGUGAUCGGAAAAACCACGGAGGGAAAAUCGCCAACCAAAUAGGAAAUUUCAAAUAAAGUAAGAGGAAAGCUGAUCUUAAGGAAGAGUUAUACAGUAAAAAACGAACCAAUACUGUAUAUUCGAUUGAUGAAAACCCAAGUACCAAUGAGGCUGUUGAGUGGCUUCAAUUGAACCAAGAACCUUGGAGUGUAGUUUUGGAAAAAUGGAGCACAAGCUUGGAUAGACGUAAAUCUUUUCUGAAAGCCCCACAGCUUGUUGAAAAACUAUUGGAUAGUUUUCCGCACUACCGCCAUCGAAACGGUUAUCAACUGAUUGAUAUCGACUAUCAAAAACUCCAACUUGGAACCGGAAGAGGUUCAGAAGCACUUGAAAACUUAAGAAAUUCAAGACCACUAAUCGCAGCUUACGCGGCCAAAAAGGCGUCAGAUCCAUCAUCUAAGGAUUUGUUAAAAGUUUUCUCGGGUAGCGAAGCAAGUGAAGAUACGCAAUUUCGUGCUCUACUUCUGCUUUUGAACACCGUGCUACCUCCAAUUCCAGCAGGGGCUCGGUUUAAACCGACAAUAAGGUUCGCCCAGGAGGAUACAAUAAUUUUUGUUGACGAGGUUUCCAAAGUAGCUUCGGAAGUUCAGCGCACAAUUAAAAGC